CAUUUGUUAUCUUUACAGAGUGACAUGCUUGAGAAGAGUGAUGAAUAAUAUUGAGGAUGAUUCAACGUCUCUUGGUUUUACUCCUGCACCACCCAAAGAGAAAAUAAUAAGACAAGAACAUUUCUUUUUCUAUCUCAGUGUCAUACUAUGACAUUGUAUUAUUACAGUGCAGUGUAACCGCAUUUCAGAAGACCAUGCGUAGCUCAAAACACUGAAGUAGGUGGGGAGGCCAAGGCCUUAAUUCUCCAAGGAGACUGGACCGGUGCUGGGUUCUAGGGCGUGUUCAGCGUCAGAAUCAUCAGCGGGGCCUCGGGCAGUCCUAAGAGUGGGAGAUGCCGUAGCGCUAGUGUUGUUGCCUUCUUGGCAAGCGUAGAUUGCGGCUGGAUACCCGUGGACCCGCGGGACCCAGAAACUGAUGGGUCAUUCAUCAGCUGAGCCCUGCAGCAUCGGGGCAGCUACCACUCUGUGCUCACACCGAGCUGUGGACUAUCCCACUGGCUUCCGUCAAAGCCUUGGGCAGGCGGGCGGUCACUUUCUACACUUCAAGGAACUAACGUGCUGUGAGCCUAUGUGAAUUUUUCUCCACUCAAUCUCACUGUCCUUGAGAGAGAUGGGUUCCAUUUACGAGAUGUCUCUGCCACCCCCCUUCUCUGAAGCAACAGUAGGUCAUGUCUGAAUGCAGAAGCAAGGCCUCAUGCUGGGAAAACACAUCCUGACUGUAGACUCUCAGGCUUCUAGAGUCAAAGCCAAAGUUUCAAGUCCUCUAUUACUAAGA